UACCGGAUAACACUUACCUCCUCCUGGGGGUUGGUUAAAAGCUCCGGCGGUGAAGGAUGAGCCCGCGGCCUAUCAGCUUGUUGGUGGGGUAAUGGCCUACCAAGGCGACGACGGGUAGCCGGCCUGAGAGGGCGACCGGCCACACUGGGACUGAGACACGGCCCAGACUCCUACGGGAGGCAGCAGUGGGGAAUAUUGCACAAUGGGCGAAAGCCUGAUGCAGCGACGCCGCGUGAGGGAUGACGGCCUUCGGGUUGUAAACCUCUUUCAGCAGGGAAGAAGCGCAAGUGACGGUACCUGCAGAAGAAGCACCGGCUAACUACGUGCCAGCAGCCGCGGUAAUACGUAGGGUGCGAGCGUUGUCCGGAAUUAUUGGGCGUAAAGAGCUCGUAGGCGGUCUGUCACGUCGGAUGUGAAAGCCCGGGGCUUAACCCCGGGUCUGCAUUCGAUACGGGCAGACUAGAGUGUGGUAGGGGAGAUCGGAAUUCCUGGUGUAGCGGUGAAAUGCGCAGAUAUCAGGAGGAACACCGGUGGCGAAGGCGGAUCUCUGGGCCAUUACUGACGCUGAGGAGCGAAAGCGUGGGGAGCGAACAGGAUUAGAUACCCUGGUAGUCCACGCCGUAAACGUUGGGAACUAGGUGUUGGCGACAUUCCACGUC
rnacentral:rRNA from 1 species